rnacentral:rRNA from 1 species
AUUGAACGCUGGCGGCAUGCUUUACACAUGCAAGUCGAACGGCAGCACGGGGGCAACCCUGGUGGCGAGUGGCGAACGGGUGAGUAAUGCAUCGGAACGUGCCCUGUCGUGGGGGAUAACACAUCGAAAGAUGUGCUAAUACCGCAUACGACCUGAGGGUGAAAGCGGGGGACCGUAAGGCCUCGCGCGAUAGGAGCGGCCGAUGUCUGAUUAGCUAGUUGGUGGGGUAAAGGCCUACCAAGGCGACGAUCAGUAGCUGGUCUGAGAGGACGACCAGGCACACUGGGACUGAGACACGGCCCAGACUCCUACGGGAGGCAGCAGUGGGGAAUUUUGGACAAUGGGGGCAACCCUGAUCCAGCCAUGCCGCGUGCGGGAAGAAGGCCUUCGGGUUGUAAACCGCUUUUGGCAGGAACGAAACGGUGCGGGCGAAUACCCUGUGCUAAUGACGGUACCUGCAGAAUAAGCACCGGCUAACUACGUGCCAGCAGCCGCAGUAAUAC